rnacentral:rRNA from 1 species
CCUAUGGGAGGCAGCAGUGGGGAAUAUUGGACAAUGGGGGCAACCCUGAUCCAGCCAUGCCGCGUGUGUGAAGAAGGCCCUCGGGUUGUAAAGCACUUUCAGUGAGGAAGAACGCCUGGUGGUUAAUACCCAUCAGGAAAGACAUCACUCACAGAAGAAGCACCGGCUAACUCCGUGCCAGCAGCCGCGGUAAUACGGAGGGUGCGAGCGUUAAUCGGAAUUACUGGGCGUAAAGCGCGCGUAGGUGGCUUGAUAAGCCGGUUGUGAAAGCCCCGGGCUCAACCUGGGAACGGCAUCCGGAACUGUCAAGCUAGAGUGCAGGAGAGGAAGGUAGAAUUCCCGGUGUAGCGGUGAAAUGCGUAGAGAUCGGGAGGAAUACCAGUGGCGAAGGCGGCCUUCUGGACUGACACUGACACUGAGGUGCGAAAGCGUGGGUAGCAAACAGGAUUAGAUACCCCAGUAGUC